rnacentral:lncRNA from 1 species
AUGGUUUUGCUCUAGUAUUAAAUGGUGGGUCUGACUUAAUUGAGGAGUGGGAUUAAUAUCUGUUAGGUGAGAUUUUCAUGACAUAGAGACCGAAUCGCUGCAACAUGCUUGAGAAACAUUAGAUAAGAGUUAUCCACUUAUUGGUAUACAUGUCAUCAAUAUCUAUCAGGUGAGAUGACGUAUGUCAGUGCGACCGUAGUACCCACU